GUCUCGGUAGUGUAAGGGAUAGAGCACGGUGCCUGAAUAGCCCAAGCGCGGGUUCGAGUCCCGUUCGAGGCU
rnacentral:tRNA from 1 species